AUUCUUUUUUUUCUUUUUUAACAGCAGCAAAAACAUUUUAAUACCUGAGAAUAAAUCAAACAAAGGCACUGAAAAUUAACAAAACAAUCAUGAAGGACCUGAAAGAAUCCUCGAACCAAUGGAAAAAAUACAUCUAUGUUCAUCCAUGGAUAAAAAUCAGUAUUAUAAAAGGCCCAAAGAAUACAUCCUUCAACAUGGGAUUGAGAAGGCAUUGAUGAAAGGCAAAGGGAACCUGAAAGCAAAGUCUUAUGUCUACGACAAUGACUUAUCUGCAUGAACUUGUAUCUUCAAUACCACCAAGGUAAUGUUUUCCAGCAGUUUCACUACCUUGUG
rnacentral:lncRNA from 1 species